rnacentral:rRNA from 1 species
UACGUAGGGGCAGCAGUCGUUCGGUUCGAUUUGUGGCGUAAAGAGCUCGUAGGCGGCUUGUUGCGUCGGUUGUGAAAGCCCGGGGCUUAACCCCGGGUCUGCAGUCGAUACGGGCAGGCUAGAGUGUGGUAGGGGAGAUCGGAAUUCCUGGUGUAGCGGUGAAAUGCGCAGAUAUCAGGGAGGAACACCGGUGGCGAAGGCGGAUCUCUGGGCCAUUACUGACGCUGAGGCGACGAAAGGCGUGGGGAGCAAACAGG